CUAGUUAUGGAGAUAUGGUACCCAAGACAAUUGCUGGCAAGAUCUUUGGCUCCAUUUGUUCACUGAGUGGUGUGCUUGUCAUUGCACUUCCUGUCCCAGUUAUUGUUUCCAAC
rfam:Anolis carolinensis chromosome 4, whole genome shotgun sequence.